rnacentral:rRNA from 1 species
CUACGGGAGGCAGCAGUGGGGAAUAUUGCACAAUGGGCGCAAGCCUGAUGCAGCCAUGCCGCGUGUAUGAAGAAGGCCUUCGGGUUGUAAAGUACUUUCAGCGGGGAGGAAGGGAGUAAAGUUAAUACCUUUGCUCAUUGACGUUACCCGCAGAAGAAGCACCGGCUAACUCCGUGCCAGCAGCCGCGGUAAUACGGAGGGUGCAAGCGUUAAUCGGAAUUACUGGGCGGAAAGCGCACGCAGGCAGUUUGUUAAGUCAGAUGUGAAAUCCCCGGGCUCAACCUGGGAACUGCAUCUGAUACUGGCAAGCUUGAGUCUCGUUGAGGGGGGUAGAAUUCCAGGUGUAGCGGUGAAAUGCGUAGAGAUCUGGAGGAAUACCGGUGGCGAAGGCGGCCCCCUGGACGAAGACUGACGCUCAGGUGCGAAAGCGUGGGGAGCAAACAGGAUUAGAUACCCUAGUAGUC